CACAGCGUGGCAGUCCUGAUGGACAACACUACCGCCAUGUUCUAUAUAAACAAGCAGGGUGGGUCCCGGUCUUCUCCCCUCUGUCGUGAGGCACUCCAAUUAUGGGACUUUUGUAUAGCCCAUGCGAUCCAACUCAUCGCAACAUAUCUUCCGGGGAUCCAAAACGGCUUAGUGGAUCGCCUCAGCCGAUCCUACCGAAUGCACGAAUGGACGUUGAGGCGAGACGUCCUGCAUUCAAUCUUCCGGAGGUGGGGCUUUCCCCGGGUGGAUCUGUUCGCCACCAAGGACAACAGUCAAUGCCCUCAGUUCUGCUCAUUCCAGAACCUCAGCCCGGGAUUAUUAGCAGAUGCCUUCACGAUCCCAUGGGGAGGGAGCCUGAGGCAUGCCUUCCCUCCGUUCCCGCUCAUACACAAGGUCCUCCUCAAGACCCGCAGGGACAGGGCGACAGUUAUACUCAUCGCCCCGGCCUGGCCACGCCAGCAUUGGUUCACGACCCUGCUGGAAUUGUCCAUAGCCGACCCGAUCACCCUCCCCCUCCAUCGCGACCUAGUCACACAAGACAAGGGUCGCCUGCUCCACCCGAACCUGUCUUCGCUACAUCUCACGGCAUGGUAUCUCUCUGGCUGAACGAUGCAGAACACAGGUGCUCUCACCAGGUUCAACAAAUCCUCCUUAGUAGUAGGAAGCCCUCUACAAGAGCCAAAUGGAAAAGGUUCUCCCACUGGUGCGAGCCUCAGCACAUACAGCCUUUACAGGCCUCAGUUCCGUCGAUCCUGGACUACUUACUGCACCUCAAGCAUCAAGGGCUUGCGCCCGCCUCGAUUAGAGUGCAUUUAGCCGCCAUUUCGGCUUUCCAUCCGGGAGAGUUGGGAGUGUCAGUGAUCUCCAACUCCACAGUGGCCCGAUUCCUCAAGGGGCUGGAGAGGGUGUUUCCCUACUCGCGCCCGCCUGUCCCUGCGUGGAGUCUGAACCUAGUCCUAACAAAGCUCAUGGGACCCCCCCUUUGAACCCCUAGCCACUUGCUCCCUCAUGCACCUCUCAUGGAAGGUGGCGUUUCUCGUGGCCAUCACAUCGGCCAGGAGGGUAUCGGAAUUGAGGGCCCUCACUUCAGAACCCCCUUAUACAGUUUUUCAUAAGGAUAAGGUGCAACUGAGGCCGCACCCCAAAUUCCUCCCGAAAGUGGUAUCACAGUUUCACAUGGGACAGGACAUUUGUCUACCGGUGUUCUUCCCUAAACCCCAUACGGACCCUCAUCACCGCAGCCUGCAUACCCUUGAUGUUCGAAGGGCAUUGGCAUUCUACCUGGAACG
rnacentral:lncRNA from 1 species